rnacentral:rRNA from 1 species
GGAAGAAGGCCCUACGGGUUGUAAACUUCUUUUCUACGGGAAUAAACCUCAGGACGUGUCCUGAGCUGAAGGUACCGUAGGAAUAAGCAUCGGCUAACUCCGUGCCAGCAGCCGCGGUAAUACGGAGGAUGCAAGCGUUAUCCGGAUUUAUUGGGUUUAAAGGGUGCGUAGGUGGAAUUGUAAGUCAGAGGUGAAAGCUAGCAGCUUAACUGUUAAAUUGCCUUUGAUACUGCUAUUCUUGAGUAUAGUUGGCGUUGGCGGAAUGUGACAUGUAGCGGUGAAAUGCGUAGAUAUGUCACAGAACACCGAUCGCGAAGGCAGCUAACGAAACUAUUACUGACACUGAUGCACGAAAGCGUGGGGAGCAAACAGGAUUAGAUACCCUGGUAGUCCACGCCGUAAACGAUGAUAACUCGACGUUGGCAAUAUACUGUUCAGCGUCCAAGCAAAAGCGUUAAGUUAUCCACCUGGGGAGUACGAUCGCAAGGUUGAAACUCAAA